rnacentral:rRNA from 1 species
CCUACGGGAGGCAGCAGUGAGGAAUAUUGGUCAAUGGGCGAGAGCCUGAACCAGCCAAGUCGCGUGAGGGAGUACUGCCCUAUGGGUUGUAAACCUCUUUUGUCGGGGAGCAAAAGCCGGACGUGUCCGGCUGUGAGAGUACCCGAAGAAAAAGCAUCGGCUAACUCCGUGCCAGCAGCCGCGGGAAUACGGAGGAUGCGAGCGUUAUCCGGAUUUAUUGGGUUAAAAGGGUGCGCAGGCGGAUUUUUAAGUCAGCGGUAAAAUCGUGGGGCUCAACCCCAUCCAGCCGUUGAAACUGGGGAUCUAGAGUGUGCGAUAGGUAUGCGGAAUGCGUGGUGGAGCGGUGAAAUGCAUAGAUAUCACGCAGAACCCCGAUUGCGAAGGCAGCAUACCGGUGCACAACUGACGCUCAGGCACGAAAGCGUGGGUAUCGAACAGGAUUAGAUACCCCUGUAGUC